AUGCACUUCAGCACCACAUAUCCUAAAAUUGGAGCGAUGUAGAGAAGAUUAGCAUGGACCCUGUGCAAGCAUGACAUGCAAAUGCAUGAGAUGUUCUGCAGAGAC